rnacentral:rRNA from 1 species
UACGUAGGUGGCAAGCGUUGUCCGGAUUCAUUGGGCGUAAAGGGUGCGUAGGCGGCGGGGCAAGUCUGAUGUGAAAUCCCGGGGCUCAACCCCGGAACUGCAUUGGAUACUGCCUUGCUUGAGUACUGGAGAGGAGACUGGAAUUUACGGUGUAGCAGUGAAAUGCGUAGAUAUCGUAAGGAAGGCCAGUGGCGAAGGCGAGUCUCUGGACAGUUACUGACGCUGAGGCACGAAGGCCAGGGGAGCAAACGGG